rnacentral:rRNA from 1 species
UACGGAGGAUCCAAGCGUUAUCCGGAUUUAUUAGGUUUAAAGGGUGCGUAGGCGGUUUGUUAAGUUAGAGGUGAAAUACCGGUGCUCAACACCGGAGCUGCCUCUGAUACUGGCAGGCUAGAGUGUAGUUGCUGUUGGCGGAAUGUAUGGUGUAGCGGUGAAAUGCUUAGAGAUCAUACAGAACACCGAUUGCGAAGGCAGCUGACAAAGCUACUACUGACGCUGAUGCACGAAAGCGUGGGGAGCAAACAGG